AUUGAACGCUGGCAGAAUGCUUUACACAUGCAAGUCGAACGGCAGCACGGACUUCGGUCUGGUGGCGAGUGGCGAACGGGUGAGUAAUGUAUCGGAACGUGCCCAGUCGUGGGGGAUAACGUAGUGAAAAUUACGCUAAUACCGCAUACGAUCUAUGGAUGAAAGCGGGGGAUCGCAAGACCUCGCGCGAUUGGAGCGGCCGAUAUCAGAUUAGGUAGUUGGUGGGGUAAAGGCCCACCAAGCCAACGAUCUGUAGCUGGUCUGAGAGGACGACCAGCCACACUGUGACUGAGACACGGUCCAGACUCCUACGGGAGGCAGCAGUGGGGAAUUUUUGACAAUGGGCGAAAGCCUGAUCCAGCCAUUCCGCGUGCAGGAUGAAGGCCCUCGGGUUGUAAACUGCUUUUGUACAGAACGAAAAGGUUUCUACUAAUACUAGGAGCUCAUGACGGUACUGUAAGAGUAAGCACCGGCUAACUACGUGCCAGCCGCCGCCGCUG
rnacentral:rRNA from 1 species